rnacentral:rRNA from 1 species
UACAGAGGUCUCAAGCGUUGUUCGGAUUCAUUGGGCGUAAAGGGUGCGUAGGCGGCGCGGUAAGUCGGGUGUGAAAUCUCGGGGCUUAACUCCGAAACUGCAUUCGAUACUGCGGUGCUUGAGGACUGGAGAGGAGACUGGAAUUCAUGGUGUAGCAGUGAAAUGCGUAGAGAUCAUGAGGAAGACCAGUGGCGAAAGGCGGGUCUCUGGACAGUUCCUGACACUGAGACACGGAAGGCCAGGGGAGCAAAACGGG